UAUGAAUACUACUCCUGUAGUAGUAUCAGGUAGUAUUUUCCCAUCAGCCUUCAAAGCUCUUUGUUCCCUCACCUGAGUGGCCACAGGUAGACUGUCCAUACACUCAGCCUACAAACAAAUCCUUCAAACAUCACUGCAAUAUUUAAAAAAAACACUGUUUCCUCUUUUACUGGGAUGCAGACUGAUGUUCUUCCUGGUCCAGUUAGAACCAGAACAUCUGGAGCUGUAGAUCCGUCUGCUGGUUCUUCAUGGUCUAAGCAGAAUCAGAACAUCUGGAGCUGUAGGUCUGUCUGCUGGUUCUUCCUGGUCCAGUUAGAAUCAGAACAUCUGGAGCUGUUGGUCCGUCUGCUGGUUCUUCCUGGUCCAAGUAGAACCAGAACAUCUGGAGCUGUAGGUCCGUCUGCUGGUUCUUCCUGGUCCAAGUAGAACCAGAACAUCUGGAGCUGUAGGUCCGUCUGCUGGUUCUUCCUGGUCCAAGUAGAACCAGAACAUCUGGAGCUGUAGGUCCGUCUGCUGGUUCUUCCUGGUCCAAGUAGAACCAGAACAUCUGGAGCUGUAGGUCCGUCUGCUGGUUCUUCCUGGUCCAAGUAGAACCAGAACAUCUGGAGCUGUAGGUCCGUCUGAUGGUUCUUCCUGGUCCAAGUAGAACCAGAACAUCUGGAGCUGUAGGUCCGUCUGAUGGUUCUUCCUGGUCCAGUUAGAAUCAGAACAUCUGGAGCUGUAGGUCCGUCUGACGGUUCUUCCUGGUCCAGUUAGAAUCAGAACAUCUGGAGCUGUAGGUCCGUCUGAUGGUUCUUCCUGGUCCAGUUAGAAUCAGAACAUCUGGAGCUGUAGGUCUGCCUGAUGGUUCUUCCUGGUCCAGUUAGAACCAGAACAUCUGGAGCUGGGGUGGUGAGCUAGUCUACAUCACCCUCUGGAGAGGUAGAGGUGGAGAACUGCUGACCUGUACUGGGGACAUUGUCAGGUGGAACAGAUGAUGGACAUCGGGAGGUUCGAGUGUGCAGAACAAAGGUGAAGGGAGGGUCGGUGUUGUUGGAGGAGGUCAGAGAGGUAAGAAGGUGCCAGGUUAUUGAGGGCCUUGUAUGUGAGGAGGAGGAGUUUGAAAUGGAUACGGUAUUGAACCGGGAGCCAGUGAAGCUGUUUGAGGAUGAGGGUGAUGUGCUCCCUGGAGUGGGUGUGGGUAAGAAGGCGAGCAGCAGAAUUCUGGAUAUAUUAUAAUUUUUGCAGUUGAGUGGAGGGAAGACCAAAGAGAAGGCUAUAGCAGUAGUCAAGUCUGGAGGUAAUGAAAGCAUGAAUGAGUAUUUCAGCAGUGGUGAGGGAGAGUGAGGGGCGGAGAUGUUCAAUGUUGCGGAGGUGAAAGAAAGACGUUUUGGUGACGUGUUUGAUGUGUCAUUGGAAGGAGAGGGUGGGGUCCAUGAUGAUGCCGAGGUUGCGUACAGAGGGGGAGGGGGUGACGUGAUGACCGUCAAUUAGCAGUGUGAAAUUCUGAGCAGAGGGGAGAAGAGAGUUGGGUCCGAUAAGAAGUUCCGUUUUGUUGGUGUUAAGUUUUAAAAAGUUGUUGUCCAUCCAGGUUUUCAUGUCAGAUAGGCAGUUGGUUAUGGUGGAAAGGAUGAUGGGGGUGAUUAUGGAUGGAUGAUGGAUGGAUAGAUGGAUGGAUGGAUGGAUGGAUGGAUGGAUGGAUGGAUGGAUGGAUGGAUGGAUGGAUGGAUGGAUGGAUGAAGGAUGGAUGAUGAAUGGAUGGAUGGAUGGAUGAGGGAUGGAUGGAUGGACGGAUGGAUGGAUGAUGGAUGAUGGAUGGAUGAUAGAUAGAUGAUUGAUGGAUUAUGAAUGGAUGAUGGAUGGAUGAUGGAUGGAUUAUACUGUAACUGUAUACAUUGUACUGCAGUACUAUUAAUGUAACCCUCUCCCUCUGUCUGU